UAUAGGUAUUCGGUACGAAAACAACGUGGAGUGCGCAAGAAAAUCACACAUCAAAAUCAGCUGUGACAAUCAGUAUGGCCGCUCAUUUAGCAAGAAAAUAAAAUUUAACUAUAUUAUUUUCAAACGUUUUGCAAAAAUAGGAAAGUGUUGGUAGUGUUUACAUUUUAGUUGAUUUAUUUUAUUCGAGUCGGUGUUGACUAUAAAAGUGUUGCGUCAUGACAAGAAAGACCUCUCACUGACAAACAAAUACAAUAAAAAAUUUAACCACUAAUUGUAGCAGAAUUUCAGCAUUUCCCUUGCAUUCGUCUUUCAUUUUGUUGAGUUUAUUGCGAGCUAAUGUGAUUUUCGCGUAAAUAAUCCCAUAAAUAUACAAAAUGAGUACGGUUCGCUUGAGUUUUGUAUCGGUUGGAAGAAUUGCUGUUAGGAGAAAUUCGCAGUUGACAUCGGGUGCUGCGCAGUCAUGUCGUGGUCUCCGCCGCUCGAGUCCCCGUUCCUUCAGUACAUGCGCCGUUUUGUGCAAGAGUCCCACAGAACAGCCCCCAGGGCCGCCACAAGCAGGCAAAGAUGCUGCAAGUACUGGUUCAGCUGGUGGUAAGAAGUCAGGUAAUGGGGUGUUGACGUGUCCCAAAUGUGGAGACCCUUGUACCCACGUGGAAACCUUCGUCAGCUCAACACGGUUUGUCAAGUGCGACAAAUGCCACCACUUCUUCGUGGUGCUGAGCGAGGUCGACACUAAGAAGAGCAUCAAGGACAAUGCUGACGCGAAAAACGGAUUCUACAGAAAGCCGCCUCCACCGCCGAAAAAGAUAUUCGAGUACCUUAACAAGCAUGUUGUGGGUCAGGAUUUUGCAAAGAAAGUGCUGUCGGUGGCCGUAUAUAACCACUACAAACGAAUAUACAAUAAUGUCACUAAUGGCGCUAACGACGCACACCAUCCACUGCAUCACGCACACAAAGAUCUGCUGCAUCUAAGUCAGGGUGGGACAGGCGGCGGUGCGGAAGUACUGGAGCGACAGAACCACGAGCUGAGACUUGACAAGAGCAAUGUACUGCUUUUGGGACCAACUGGAAGCGGUAAAACCCUCCUUGCGCAGACGAUAGCGACAUGUCUAGACGUGCCCUUUGCGAUCUGCGACUGUACGACUCUGACGCAGGCUGGAUACGUCGGCGAGGACAUUGAGAGCGUGAUCGCGAAAUUACUACAAGACGCCAACUUUAAUGUGGAGCGAGCGCAGACUGGCAUCGUGUUCCUCGAUGAGGUGGACAAAAUUGGUGCAGUUCCCGGAAUACAUCAGCUUCGAGAUGUAGGAGGUGAAGGAGUACAGCAAGGCAUGCUCAAAAUGCUCGAAGGUUGCGUUGUGUCCGUACCCGAACGUAAUUCUCGCAAACUACGCGGUGACGCGGUACAAGUUGACACCACGAACAUACUGUUCGUCGCGAGUGGGGCAUAUAACGGUCUCGACCGCCUAAUCCAACGGCGUAAUAACGAGAAAUACCUUGGUUUUGGGGCGUGGGACCCGAAGUCGGGACGACGGGCUGCGUUCGCAGCGGCCGCGGCCGACGCCUCGCCAUUGGAUACGGCGAAAGAUGAGUGCAACGAAAGAGAUAGCUGGCUUCGUAAGGUGCAAGCCAGGGACCUUAUCGACUUUGGCAUGAUUCCCGAAUUCGUUGGUCGUUUCCCCGUACUGGUGCCUUUCCACAGCCUCGAUCAGGACCUCCUCGUGCGGAUACUGACAGAGCCUAAGAACGCUAUUGUCGCCCAGUACAAAUUACUGUUCGCGAUGGACAAGUGCGAGUUGUCGUUCAGUGAAGAGGCGCUUCGAGCUGUCGCCGCUAUGGCCAUGGAGCGCAAGACUGGUGCUAGAGGUUUACGGGCCAUCAUGGAAAACCUACUUCUGGAAGUGAUGUUCGAGAUCCCAGGGUCGGAUAUAACGGGUGUUCACAUUCACGAUGGCUGUGUGCGUCGCGCAGAACCACCAAGACUUACGCGGCGACACGCAGACCAGGAUAUGCACCACUGGCCCUCGGUGCGACUACACAAUUGAAUCUUUCGAUAAUACAGCUUUCUGUUCUGCCACUCAAGACGGAUUCUUUAUUUGAGGCCUGCUCACAAGAUUUGAAGGCGGAAUCGGAACCAUCUGUUAAUCAGUACGCGCUCUGAGAAAUGCGCAACACAAACACACCGGCAAAUUUGUCUAUGCUCAUAUUCCUCUACUGUCUGUGCCCGAAAGCCGUAUUACUAAGGCAAAAUUAAAGGCUCACUGCAUUCUUAAAAUAUUAAAAUAUGACAUUAAAAACUUAUAUAUUAUUUAAAAAACCUCUUGCCUAACAACUGUUCCAAUACAAUAAUUUUGUGGCUAGAAAAAAAAAAGUAAAAUUUACGAUGAUCUUUAUAGUAGUUCCUUGUGGUUAAUAGAAUGGUUGUGUGCGCGACAUACAGCCAUCUUGUGAUGUAAAUUACUGUAAAUAUUAUAUUAUAGAAAGAAUUAAUUAAGACGUAAUAGUUUAGGCAUUUUUUAAAUCUACAUUUUAAGUUACGAGAAAUGGUUUAAAAAACUGGCAAUUUAAAUUAAAAGAUUGGCAACACAGAAGAUAUUUUGACAUUUUGUUUUUGUUAUACAUAGAUUUUUUAUUUAACGCGAUGUGAUGUGAUUAGGUUUAGAUUAUAAAAAAUAGAGAAUUUUAGACACGUUUUGAACGGAUUAUAUAAUCACAUUACAAAUAGAAUAAGCUUAUUUUCAAAUAAAAACAAUAAAACUACUGAA